rnacentral:rRNA from 1 species
CCUUGCCAGCCCGCUCAGAACUUAAAUGAAUUGACGGGGCCGCACAAGCGGUGGAGCAUGUGGUUUAAUUCGAUGAUACGCGAGGAACCUUACCUGGGCUCAAAUGUAUGUUGACGUAUUCUGAAAGGGAUACUUCUUCGGACAAUAUACAAGGUGCUGCAUGGUUGUCGUCAGCUCGUGCCGUGAGGUGUCGGGUUAAGUCCCAUAACGAGCGCAACCCCUGCAUUCAGUUGCCAUCGGUAAGGCCGGGCACUCUGGAUGGACUGCCGGCGACAAGCCGGAGGAAGGUGGGGACGACGUCAAGUCAUCAUGGCCCUUAUGUCCAGGGCGACACACGUGCUACAAUGGCCGGCACAACGGGAAGCGAAGGGGCGACCCUGAGCGGAUCCCACAAAAGCCGGUCCCAGUUCGGAUUGCAGUCUGCAACUCGACUGCAUGAAGUUGGAAUCGCUAGUAAUCGUGGAUCAGCCAAGCCGCGGUGAAUACGUUCCCGGGCCUU